CGGGUAUCGCUUCUCGGCCUUUUGGCUAAGAUCAAGUGUAGUAUCUGUUCUUAUCAGUUUAAUAUCUGAUACGUCCUCUAUCCGAGGACAAUAUAUUAAAUGGAUUUUUGGAGCAGGGAGAUGGAAUAGGAGCUUGCUCCGUCCACUCCGCGCAUCGACUUGGUAUUGCAGUACUUCCAGGAACGGUGCACCCCCACGGGGGAGUAACAGGGUUUAUAAAAGAAGAUUUGCGAGCGGUUAAUUUUCUGUUUUGCGAAGGACGUAAGCGUACGCCACGGUUCUGUUUUCGCUUUCCUGUUCUGUGUCUUGAACGAGGGAAAAAAUUCGUUUAGCAGAGACUUACUGAGGCUCGAGUUCUGCGUGUGUGUGUGUGUGUGUGUGAGUAGUCCCUCAGCUGUCUCUCUCGCUUAUUGUGCACUUUGUUUUGUGCUGCUGUUCGGCGGUCUUCACGAACAGCGCCAUACUGAGCGAGGCUCAGUUGCAGUGCUUUUUCGGCUCAGCGCAAAACCUAAGGCAUGUCACUUCCUCCUGCCUUAGAUCUUGGUCUUUUCUGACCUUUUCCUUCACCUCUCCCCGAAUGCUGAAAUCCUGUAUUUUCUGCAAGAAUUUCUUCUCUCUUCUGUCUCCUUUCUGUCUCAAUGCUCUUCCUGUACUUGUUAAAAUGCUGCGGGCAGGGUUUUGACGGGGUUCAAGACAGGCUGCCCCAGGACGUGGCGCUCUGGUAUUCGAGCUGAAGACGGACAAAGGCUCGGCAGACUCAGGAAGAACAUUUAACCUUCCCGCCAAACUGCUUAAAAGAAUUUAACGGAGAAGGCUGUUGAUGAACAUAAUCCGUAACCAAUCUGUAAAUGAAAAUGUGGGGAUUACCUAGGGGUGGAGAGUGGAAAGGCACAGAGGGUCCGGGUGGAAGCUUUCCACUCGAGAAGAGAGUGGGACAUACACCUCUACUACCAAGGCAUCCGCCGCGAGCUCAGGUUCCCGGAUGAAGAGUGUAAAUUAGGGUUCAUCCACUCCAGGAAUAUUUGUUGAGUGACGACUGUGUGCUAAGACCGGGGAACGGGGCCAUAGGCGUGACAAAGACAGACCCCUGCUCUGAGAAAGUUUCUAGUCUCCGAGAGAAAGAAAACAGAACAGUCAGUCAUCCUGGAUCCACAAUCAUUUCCUAAUCUGGAAUCCCUGAAAACCAUUUCUUCUCACGAGUUGCCCACGCUCGUUUGUCGGCAAAAGAUACCCUCAAGGGAGGCAAGGCGUCGCUUUCUGUGUAUCCUGCCCAAUGAUAGAAAGAGAGCCUAGAAGUUGCUGAGGAGCAGCUGAACGCCCCAUCGAAAAGGGGCAAAAAAUAGACGGAUGAUAGAUCGUCGGAUAAGUUUGGCGUUGGGGAAGGCCAUCUAACUGUGACUCAAAAUCCGGAAGCCCAACUUUUAGGAAAGAUUGAUGUACUUGAGUUACAGAAAACCUAAAUUCUCUGCAGAACACAAAACAUCAUACGCGAAGCAAAAGACAAAUGAAAAACUGAGGAAAAAAUUGCCAAUAGAUCACAGAAAAGCAUAAUCACCGAUGAUAUGAGGAGAUCCUAGAAACUGACGAGAAACAGCUGAACACCCAGCAGGAAACGGGCAAAGAUCGAGAGGUGACAGGGGAAAAGAAACACGGGUAUGCGCUGGCGUCUUCCCCCGGGGGCGACCUUACCUCUCCGCGCCCCUGUCUGUCCUCUCCAGUCUGUGGCGCCCGCGCAUCGCGCAGACGAUGCGUAGGAGUAUCGAUCCGCUCCCUCCGUGGCAUCCUGUACGUGACCAAAAGUGAGGCCAUUUCGUUACGCAGAGUGGCCCCCGCCCCUCCGCUGGGUGACUAGUCGCUGCUCUGCACGUACUCUCAAAACGGCCCCGUGCUCUCCCGGUGGAUGGGCUCCGCUUACUAUGGACUCCCGCAUAGCUCGAUAAAUUAAAACUUUGUUCUGUGAGUUUCUCUCCAGGAACAGGCUGACCACAGGUCACACCUACACAGUAUCCGUCACAGCUGACAGGAAAAUGGAACAGUGUCGUGCCUGCAUCCCGUCACGGCCAUUUCUAAACCCCCUCCUUACUGCUCAUUUCCCCUGUGUAACUGCCUCAAGAUUCUGUAAUUCUGGAAGAGGGGUUUUUGAGACAUGACUCACCCGUCUUCCGAUUGGCCGGCUAAUCCCAUUAAACUUCCUUUCUCCAUCUCUAA